rnacentral:lncRNA from 1 species
UCCAUUCCGAAGUUGUAGUUUGUUUUGACAUUUCCUUUUUAUUUAACCUAACCUAUGUUUUGUGUUUUAUUGUGUUGUAUACAAGGAGUUGUAUAUUGAAAUUGAAUUGAUUCUUGUUUCAUUGAAUAUAGAGGAGUUGUUCUGUUGCAAGUUGUUCUAGUUUUGUUGUUUUAAAAUCUGCGAAAAACUAUUUAUAGAUAAUGGUGAACUUAAACAAGAAAUGGACAUGCAGUUUGCUGAUUACUUAAUUGUGUACUCACAACACAUAGGAUUUCUCUGACACAGUUUCCAGUACAGAACUGCCACAGGAAUCUCCAGUGGAGUUGCAACCGCUCUCACGGACGUCCACAAAUCAAGUUACAAAACUGUUACAUGACUCUAUUGGAGUUGCAACCGCAAUUGGAUAAAAGUGAAAUUCGAAUAAUGCCAGAAAGACUAUAACCGUCCAAAGUGAUAGUGUGAAAUUAAAAUCAAAUGAUUACGUAUAAAUCAUAUUUAUAAUAAUUAUAAAUAGUAGCUGUAUUUUUUAAAUAAACAGAUUUGAUAAGUUA